rnacentral:rRNA from 1 species
UACGAAGGGGGCUAGCGUUGUUCGGAAUUACUGGGCGUAAAGCGCACGUAGGCGGUCUUUUAAGUCGGGGGUGAAAUCCUGGAGCUCAACUCCAGAACUGCCUUCGAUACUGGAAGACUCGAGUUCGGGAGAGGUGAGUGGAACUGCGAGUGUAGAGGUGAAAUUCGUAGAUAUUCGCAAGAACACCAGUGGCGAAGGCGGCUCACUGGCCCGGUACUGACGCUGAGGUGCGAAAGCGUGGGGAGCAAACAGG